rnacentral:rRNA from 1 species
AUUGAACGCUAGCGGGAUGCCUUACACAUGCAAGUCGAACGGAGUGGCGAACGGGUGAGUAAUGUAUCGGAACGUGCCCAGUCGCGGGGGAUAACUACGCGAAAGCGUAGCUCAUACCGCAUACUAUUAGAGCGGCCGCUAUCGGAUUAGCUAGUUGGUGGGGUAACGGCUCACCAAGGCGACGAUCCGUCGCUGGUGUGAGAGGACGACCAGCCACACUGGGACUGAGACACGGCCCAGACUCCUACGGGAGGCAGCAGUGGGGAAUUUGGGACAAUGGGGGAAACCCUGAUCCAGCAAGGCCGCGUGUGCGAUGAAGGCCUUCGGGUCGUAAAGCACUUUUGUCAGGAAAGCGGUACCUGCAGAAUAAGCACCGGCUAACUCCGUGCCAGCCGCCGCGGUAAUUC